rnacentral:rRNA from 1 species
CCUACGGGUGGCAGCAGUAGGGAAUAUUGCUCAAUGGGGGAAACCCUGAAGCAGCAACGCCGCGUGGAGGAUGAAGGUUUUCGGAUUGUAAACUCCUUUUGUUAGAGAAGAUAAUGACGGUAUCUAACGAAUAAGCACCGUCUAACUCCGUGCCAGCAGCCGCGGUAAUACGGAGGGUGCAAGCGUUACUCGGAAUCACUGGGCGUAAAGAGGGCGUAGGCGGGAUAGCAAGUCAGAUGUGAAAUCCUAUGGCUUAACCAUAGAACUGCAUUUGAAACUGUUAUUCUAGAGUAUGGGAGAGGUAGGUGGAAUUCUUGGUGUAGGGGUAAAAUCCGUAGAGAUCAAGAGGAAUACUCAUUGCGAAGGCGACCUGCUAGAACAUAACUGACGCUGAUGCGCGAAAGCGUGGGGAGCAAACAGGAUUAGAUACCCUUGUAGUC